rnacentral:rRNA from 1 species
CCUACGGGUGGCAGCAGUGGGGGAUAUUGCACAAUGGGGGGAACCCUGAUGCAGCGACGCCGCGUGGGUGAAGGAGCGUUUCGGCUCGUAAAGCCCUAUCGGCAGGGAAGAAGAUGACGGUACCUCACCAAGAAGCCCCGGCUAACUACGUGCCAGCAGCCGCGGUAAUACGUAGGGGGCAAGCGUUAUCCGGAUUUACUGGUUGUAAAGGGGGAGCAGACGGCAAUGCAAGCCAGGAGUGAAAGCCGGAGGCCUAACCCCAGGAGUGUUCUAGGAACUGCAUGGUUGGAGGACAGGAGGGGCAGGCGGAAUUCCUAGUGUAGCGGUGAAAUGCGUAGAUAUUAGGAAGAACACCAGUGGCGAAGGCGGCCUGCUGGACUGUGACUGACGUUGAGGCGCGAAGGCGUGGGGAGCAAACAGGAUUAGAUACCCUAGUAGUC